UUAAAGUAGUAAGGGCGCAGGGUGGAUGCCUUGGCACUAAGAGCCGAUGAAAGACGUGAUAAGCUGCGAAAAGCUUCGGGGAGGAGCACAUAUCCAAUGAUCCGGAGAUAUCUGAAUGGGGAAACCCGGCAGAGGAAACCUCUGUCAGCGUGCAGUGAAUACAUAGCUGUACGUGGGGAACCCGGGGAACUGAAACAUCUAAGUACCCGGAGGAAGAGAAAGAAAAUUUAUCGAUUUCCAAAGUAGCGGCGAGCGAAAUGGAAAGAGCCCAAACCGUGAUGCGUGCAUCGCGGGGUUCGGACUGCGUUGUGGCAGACGUAAGAUAGGAGAACGGACUGGGAAGUCCGGCCGGAGAGAGUGAAAGCCUCGUAUCCGAAAUCCCAAGUCGCCUAGCAGGAUCCAGAGUAGGACGAGACACGAGAAACCUUGUCUGAACGAGCGGGGACCACCCCGUAAGGCUAAAUACUUCUUAGUGACCGAUAGCGCAUAGUACUGUGAAGGAAAGGUGAAAAGUACCCCGGGAGGGGAGUGAAAGAGAACCUGAAACCCUGUGUCUACAAGCUGUGGGACCUCUUUAUAUGAGGGACUGCGUACUUUUUGUAGAACGGUCCGGCGAGUUGUGCGUACUGGCGAGGUUAAGGACUUAAGGUCUGGAGCCGAAGUGAAAGCAAGCGUUAAUAGCGCGUCAAGUCAGUGAGUGCAGACCCGAAACCGGGUGACCUAUCCAUGUCCAGGUUGAAGCUUCCGUAAGAGGAAGUGGAGGACCGAACCCACAUCCGUUGAAAAGGGUGGGGAUGAGGUGUGGAUAGCGGAGAAAUUCCAAUCGAACCCGGAGAUAGCUGGUUCUCCUCGAAAUAGCUUUAGGGCUAGCCUCAUGAGAGUCUUAUGGAGGUAGAGCACUGAAUUGCCUAGGGGGCGUCAAAGCUUACCAAAGCAUAUCAAACUCCGAAUGCCAUCAAGAUGAUUCAUGGGAGUCAGACCAUACGAGAUAAGUUGGAUGGUCAAAAGGGAAAGAGCCCAGACCUACAGCUAAGGUCCCAAAGUACGUGUUAAGUGGAAAAGGAUGUGGGGAUUCUAAGACAACUAGGACGUUGGCUUAGAAGCAGCCAUUCAUUGAAAGAGUGCGUAAUAGCUCACUAGUCGAGAGUCCCUGCGCCGAAAAUGUCCGGGGCUGAAACACGACACCGAAGCUUAGGAAUGUGUAAACAUUGGUAGAGGAGCAUUGCUGGCGGGAUGAAGCCAUACCGUAAGGAGUGGUGGACUGCUAGGAAGAGAGAAUGCCGGAAUGAGUAGCGAGAUGAAGGUGAGAAUCCUUCAGGCCGAAUAUCUAAGGUUUCCAGAGUAAAGCUGAUCUGCUCUGGGUAAGUCGGGACCUAAGGCGAGGUCGAAAGACGUAGUCGAUGGAUAACAGGUUGAAAUUCCUGUACCGCAUAUAAACAGAACUGUGGGGACACAGACAGGGAAUGGAAUCCGGGAAUGGAGAUCCCGGUGCAAGCGAGGUAGGAGUGCUGUUGGCAAAUCCGCAGCACGAUCUGAAGACGUGACGCGUACCGAACAUAAGUAGGGAAGUCCAGGCCCCUGGCUGUCAAGAAAAGCCGCUAUUGUUUUAUAUGUGCCCGUACCGCAAACCGACACAGGUGGAUGAGGAGAGAAUCCUAAGGCCGACGGGAGAAGUAUUGUUAAGGAACUCGGCAAAAUGACUCCGUAACUUCGGGAGAAGGAGUGCCAUGAGAGUGGCCGCAGAGAAAUGGCCCAAGCAACUGUUUAGCAAAAACACAGGUCUAUGCAAAACCGCAAGGUGAAGUAUAUGGGCUGACGCCUGCCCGGUGCUGGAAGGUUAAGGGGAGAUGUCAGGAGACGAAGCAUCGAACUUAAGCCCCAGUAAACGGCGGCCGUAACUAUAACGGUCCUAAGGUAGCGAAAUUCCUUGUCGGGUAAGUUCCG
rnacentral:rRNA from 1 species